rnacentral:misc_RNA from 1 species
AUGUGUUCGCUUCCUUUAUAAUAAGCUUAAACUGACGGCAUACUGCUUACUUCGGCAGACUCAGUGAAAUACGGUAUUCACCAGAAAUUUUCCAAGGUUUCUUCUGCACAUUCCGCUACCAUGAAAGUUUUUAUCCUAAUUGCAUUGGUUGCCGUGGCAACAGCUAAACCAGCUGAGAACUCCUUUGAUCGACUUGCCCGCUCUUUGGCUGAAGAUGAGGUUAUGAAGAGGGGUGUCAAAGACGUCCUUAUUGACGUUGUUAAAGCCAUCUGCGUCCCUGUCAUGGACUCCGUGAUCGGUCUGACCAAUGGCACAUGUGCCGUAUUGGCCGCUUCUGCCGACAGCACCUGCAUACAGCUUGCUGACCAGUACCUUGGCGGCUUCUUCUCUGGUCUGUUCUCUACCCCUGUUGCAUCCAUGUGCAAAAACUUGGCUGAUCUUGUCAUCAUCGAGUGCAACAAAGGAACCGUGCAAAACUACGCCAGCGGUGUAUGCGCCGCACUUGCCAACAAAAUGGGCUAAAUGAACUUUUUUUGUAAAUUUCCUGAGUCAAAAAUAAAUGGAAGAAAGACAAAAAGAAAUAUAUUGAUGAUUUGCACAA